CCUACGGGCGGCAGCAGUGGGGAAUAUUGCACAAUGGGCGCAAGCCUGAUGCAGCCAUGCCGCGUGUGUGAAGAAGGCCUUCGGGUUGUAAAGCACUUUCAGCGGGGAGGAAGGCGUUAAGGUUAAUAACCCUGUCGAUUGACGUUACCCGCAGAAGAAGCACCGGCUAACUCCGUGCCAGCAGCCGCGGUAAUACGGAGGGUGCAAGCGUUAAUCGGAAUUACUGGGCGUAAAGCGCACGCAGGCGGUCUGUCAAGUCGGAUGUGAAAUCCCCGGGCUCAACCUGGGAACUGCAUUCGAAACUGGCAGGCUAGAGUCUUGUAGAGGGGGGUAGAAUUCCAGGUGUAGCGGUGAAAUGCGUAGAGAUCUGGAGGAAUACCGGUGGCGAAGGCGGCCCCCUGGACAAAGACUGACGCUCAGGUGCGAAAGCGUGGGGAGCAAACAGGAUUAGAUACCCGAGUAGUC
rnacentral:rRNA from 1 species